AGCGGUUCGGAUAGCGGCAGUUCUUUGUCAAUCGGUUCCAGAGAGACAGGGAAGGCCGUGAGAACCGGCCACAGUAGCGCUGCGGUAUCGCAUCACAGACCCUCAUCCCGCCACGGCGGGAAUAAAGCCAGUCCCCGGCCCGGUCGGGGGCGAAGGCGAGGGGCGAGACCGGCGCGAAGCGCCAGAUUUGAAAUCUCAGAUCUCAAAUCCGGGUGCGGCGCGCCCAAAAUGCGGAGUCCGAAGAUCUGCCUCUGGAAGCUCACUGCG
rnacentral:ncRNA from 2 species